UAGAUGGUUCUAAAGCCCUGUCUGUGUCC
rnacentral:piRNA from 1 species